rnacentral:rRNA from 1 species
GAUGGACGCUGGCGGCGUGCCUAAUACAUGCAAGUCGAGCGAACGGACGAGAAGCUUGCUUCUCUGAUGUUAGCGGCGGACGGGUGAGUAACACGUGGAUAACCUACCUAUAAGACUGGGAUAACUUCGGGAAACCGGAGCUAAUACCGGAUAAUAUUUUGAACCGCAUGGUUCAAAAGUGAAAGACGGUCUUGCUGUCACUUAUAGAUGGAUCCGCGCUGCAUUAGCUAGUUAGUAAGGUAACGGCUUACCAAGGCAACGAUGCAUAGCCGACCUGAGAGGGUGAUCGGCCACACUGGAACUGAGACACGGUCCAGACUCCUACGGGAGGCAGCAGUAGGGAAUCUUCCGCAAUGGGCGAAAGCCUGACGGAGCAACGCCGCGUGAGUGAUGAAGGUCUUCGGAUCGUAAAACUCUGUUAUUAGGGAAGAACAUAUGUGUAAGUAACUGUGCACAUCUUGACGGUACCUAAUCAGAAAGCCACGGCUAACUACGUG